rnacentral:rRNA from 1 species
CAGUCCGUACUCCGAAUGCUCUAAUUAGAGUUGAUCAUGGCUCAGAGUCGAACGCUGGCGGUAGGCCUAACACAUGCAAGUCGAACGGCAGCACAGGAGAGCUUGCUCUUCUGGGUGGCGAGUGGCGGACGGGUGAGGAAUACAUCGGAAUCUACUCUGUCGUGGGGGAUAACGUAGGGAAACUUACGCUAAUACCGCCAUACUGACCUUAACGAGGUGAAAGUCAGGGGGACCUUCGGGCCUUUGCUGGCGUAUUGAAUGAGUCCGAUGUCGGNAUUAGGCCU